rnacentral:rRNA from 1 species
GAUGAACGCUAGCGGCAGGCCUAACACAUGCAAGUCGAGGGGUAUAGUUCUUCGGAACUAGAGACCGGCGCACGGGUGCGUAACGCGUAUGCAAUCUACCUUUUACAGGGGAAUAGCCCAGAGAAAUUUGGAUUAAUGCCCCAUAGUGUUAUAGAAUCGCAUGGUUUUAUAACUAAAGUUCCAACGGUAAAAGAUGAGCAUGCGUCCCAUUAGUUAGUUGGUAAGGUAACGGCUUACCAAGACAAUGAUGGGUAGGGGUCCUGAGAGGGAGAUCCCCCACACUGGUACUGAGACACGGACCAGACUCCUACGGGAGGCAGCAGUGAGGAAUAUUGGACAAUGGGCGGCAAGCCUGAUCCAGCCAUGCCACGUGCAGGAAGACGGUCCUAUGGAUUGUAAACUAGCUUUUGUUACAGGAAGAAACACUCCCUCGUGAGGGAGCUUGACGGUACUGUAAGAAUAAGGAUCGGCUAACUCCGUG